rnacentral:rRNA from 1 species
GACGAACGCUGGCGGCGUGCUUAACACAUGCAAGUCGAACGGAAAGGCCCUGCUUGCAGGGUACUCGAGUGGCGAACGGGUGAGUAACACGUGGGUGAUCUGCCCUGCACUUCGGGAUAAGCCUGGGAAACUGGGUCUAAUACCGGAUAGGAGCCAUUUUUAGUGUGAUGGUUGGAAAGUUUUUUCGGUGUAGGAUGAGCUCGCGGCCUAUCAGCUUGUUGGUGGGGUAAUGGCCUACCAGGGCGGCGACGGGUAGCCGGCCUGAGAGGGUGGACGGCCACAUUGGGACUGAGAUACGGCCCAGACGCCUACGGGAGGCAGCAGUGGGGAAUAUUGCACAAUGGGCGCAAGCCUGAUGCAGCGACGCCGCGUGGGGGAUGACGGCCUUCGGGUUGUAAACUCCUUUCGCUAGGGACGAAGCUUUUUGUGACGGUACCUAGAGAAGAAGCACCGGCUAACUACGUG